CGGGUGAGUAACACGUGAGUAAUCUGCCCUUCACUCUGGGAUAACUGCCUGAAAGGGUGGCUAAUACCGGAUAUUCUCCUUGCACCGCAUGGUGUGGGGUGGGAAGAUUUUUUGGUGGGGGAUGUGCUCGCGGCCUAUCAGCUUGUUGGUGGGGUAAUGGCCUACCAAGGCUUUGACGGGUAGCCGGCCUGAGAGGGUGACCGGCCACACUGGGACUGAGACACGGCCCAG
rnacentral:rRNA from 1 species